rnacentral:rRNA from 1 species
AGUGAACGCUGGCGGUAGGCCUAACACAUGCAAGUCGAACGGCAGCACAGUAAGAGCUUGCUCUUACGGGUGGCGCGUGGCGGACGGGUGAGGAAUACAUCGGAAUCUACUUUUUCGUGGGGGAUAACGUAGGGAAACUUACGCUAAUACCGCAUACGACCUACGGGUGAAAGCAGGGGAUCUUCGGACCUUGCGCGAUUGAAUGAGCCGAUGUCGGAUUAGCUAGUUGGCGGGGUAAAGGCCCACCAAGGCGACGAUCCGUAGCUGGUCUGAGAGGAUGAUCAGCCACACUGGAACUGAGACACGGUCCAGACUCCUACGGGAGGCAGCAGUGGGGAAUAUUGGACAAUGGGCGCAAGCCUGAUCCAGCCAUACCGCGUGGGUGAAGAAGGCCUUCGGGUUGUAAAGCCCUUUUGUUGGGAAAGAAAAGCAGCAGGUUAAUACCCCGCUGUUCUGACGGUACCCAAAGAAUAAGCACCGGCUAACCUCGUG